UCUCCGUAGGUGAACCUGCGGAGGGAUCAUUACAGAGUUCUCGCCCUCGCGGGUAGAUCUCCCACCCACUGUUAUCGUUACUGUGUUGCAUUGGCGGGCCGCCGGGCCCCGCUCGGCCGCCGGCUCCGGCUGGCGCGCGCCCGCCAGAGGCCCAGCAAACUCUGAAUGUUAGUGUCGUCUGAGUACUAUAUAAUAGUUAAAACUUUCAACAACGGAUCUCUUGGUUCUG
rnacentral:misc_RNA from 1 species